GAUCCAGUGGCAUAGUGGUUAGAGCGUACCCCCUCGGAUGUGGUAGAUCGCGGGUUCAAAUCCCAUCCGAGUCA